AUUGAACGCUGGCGGCAGGCCUAACACAUGCAAGUCGAACGGUAGCACAGAGAGCUUGCUCUCGGGUGACGAGUGGCGGACGGGUGAGUAACGUCUGGGAAACUGCCCGAUGGAGGGGGAUAACUACUGGAAACGGUAGCUAAUACCGCAUAACGUCGCAAGACCAAAGUGGGGGACCUUCGGGCCUCACACCAUCGGAUGUGCCCAGAUGGGAUUAGCUAGUAGGUGGGGUAAUGGCUCACCUAGGCGACGAUCCCUAGCUGGCCUGAGAGGAUGACCAGCCACACUGGAACUGAGACACGGUCCAGACUCCUACGGGAGGCAGCAGUGGGGAAUAUUGCACAAUGGGCGCAAGCCUGAUGCAGCCAUGCCGCGUGUAUGAAGAAGGCCUUCGGGUUGUAAAGUACUUUCAGCGGGGAGGAAGGCGGUGAAGUUAAUAACUUCACCGAUUGACGUUACCCGCAGAAGAAGCACCGGCUAACUCCGUGCCAGCAGCCGCAGUAA
rnacentral:rRNA from 1 species